rnacentral:lncRNA from 1 species
AUGGUACUGAAGAAUUCAUUUACAGGGCAACUGAAGCCUUUGACUGUGUGGAUCACAAUAAACUGGAAAAUUCUGAAAGAGAUAGGAAUAUCAGACCACCUAACCUGGUUCUUAAGAAAUCUAUAUGCAGGUCAGGAAGCAACAGUUAGAACUGGACAUGGAACAACAGACUGGUUCCAAACAGGAAAAGGAGUGCGUCAAGGCUGUAUAUUGUCACCUUGCUUAUUUAGCUUAUAUGCAGAGUACAUCACAAGAAACGCUGGUCUGGAAGAAGCACAAGCUGGAAUCAAGAUUGCUGGGAGAAAUAUCAAUAACCUCAGAUAUGCAGGUGACACCACCUUUAUGGCAGAAAGUGGAGAGGAACUAAAAAGCCUCUUGAUAAAAGUGAAAGAGGAUAGUGAAAAAGUUGGCUUAAAGUUCAACAUUCAGAAAACGAAGAUCAUGGCAUCUGGUCCCAUCACUUCAUGGGAAAUAGAUGGGGAAACAGUGGAAACAGUGUUAGACUUUAUUUUUUUGGGCUCCAAAGUCAUUGCAGAUGGUGAUUGCAGCUUACUUUUUAGAAGGAAAGUUAUGACCAACCUAGAUAGCAUAUUCAAAAGCAGAGACAUUACUUUGCCAACAAAGGUCCAUCUAGUCAAGGCUAUGGUUUUUCCAGUGGUCAUGUAUGGAUGUGAGAGUUGGAUUCUGAAGAAAGCUGAGUGCAGAAGAAUUGAUACUUUUGAACUGUGGUGUUGGAGAAGACUCUUGAGAGUCCCUUGGACUGCAAGGAGAUCCAACCAGUCCAUUCUGAAGGAGAUCAGUCCUGGGUGUUCAAUGGAAGGAGUGAUGCUAAAGCUGAAACUCCAAUACUUUGGCCACCUCAUGCAAAGAGUUGACUCAUUGGAACAGACUCUGAUGCUGGGAGGGAUUGGGGGCAGGGGGAGAAGAGGACGACAGAGUAUGAGAUGGCUGGAAUACAUCACCAACUCGAUGGGCGUGAGUUUGAGUGAACUCUGGGAGGUGAUGAUGGACAGGGAGGCCUGGCGUGCUGAGAUUCAUGGGGUCACAUAG